CCAUAACUGCAGAGCCUCCUCCUACCUUACCAGCAGAACCACCUGAUACUCCUGUUUAUUCUAUUAAAUGUUACAAAAGCCAUCAUGUACAAUAAACCAACCUAUGUGAUGCCACAAAAGGAAACAUCUAAAACCUCAAAACCAGAUUCAAGUGUUCAAAUGUGUAAUAUUGUACAAAUAGGCGGCAACUCCAAAAGUAUGGAUGAAAAUCUUCGCAACUUCAAAUCCAGUAUCACAAAAAAUGCAAAGAAAUCUACCUGACAAUACAGACAACAAAUAUAUAUAAAUAUAUGUGUAUAUUAUGUGAUACUGCACCUACUUUUGUAUUUAAAUAUCAUUAGUAUAAAAAAAUGAAUUUAUUAAUAAGAAUUUGAAACGUUCAAGAAAAGAGCUUAUUCCUUUUAAAAGGCCGCACUUGCAAUUCUCCUGGUGUUGCUUGCUCCUAUGAGCACCCAUAGGCGGCGGUAAUUAUUUACCAUCAGGUGAGCCGCAAGCUCGUUAAUAUUUUGAAUUCGGAAUGCGUAGCGUUAAUUUUUUUUACAAUUAUUAAUAU